rnacentral:rRNA from 1 species
UACGAAGGGGGCUAGCGUUGCUCGGAAUCACUGGGCGUAAAGGGUGCGUAGGCGGGUCUUUAAGUCAGGGGUGAAAUCCUGGGGCUCAACUCCAGAACUGCCUUUGAUACUGAGGAUCUUGAGUUCGGGAGAGGUGAGUGGAACUGCGAGUGUAGAGGUGAAAUUCGUAGAUAUCUGGAGGAACACCGGUGGCGAAGGCGGCAUCCUGGACCGGUAUUGACGCUGAGGCGCGAAAGCCAGGGGAGCAAACGGG